GGCUGCAUGGAAGCUAACUGACCAUUCAACUAGCAUCCCAGCUGUUAUUGUACUUCAUGAAACGUCAUCCAGCAGUUCACAUCUGCUUUGCGUGAUAAGUGUUGACAACGGAGGCAGCAAACACUUUAAACAGUCGCUACUUCUUGACAGUUCGAAGUUAACUUCCAUCAAACAUCUGCAGCUAAACGACCCCCCCACCCGGCAGUAACCACUUAGAAACAGGAGAGGUCAGCAAUGCACUAUUUCUGCGGAUCGGCCUCCUGGCUGUUGAUGGUCAGACCGUGGCCUGGAGACGCCACAUUUCGAGGUCGGGAUCACCUACAAAACAGCAGCCCUGGAGCCAGAGGACCUGGACCAUGGACACAUCAGCAGGACAGCGCUCAGCUGUACACUUGUCAGGAGCUGUUGUAGCAAAGCCAUGCAGUCAGUGGGACCGUCAACAUUACCUGUCUACGAUCAAGACAACUCAACCUGGCAGCCAGAAAAUCCCUGUCACUUCAGGCCUGCUGAUAGAGCAGUCUGAGAAUUUAGAGAAUAAGAGGCAACCAUAGGAUGUAUACACAGACAUGAUAAACCCGUGAAGAGAAUCGGUAUUGACAAUGUGAUGUGUGGAUGAUGUGAAAUUGCUCAAAUGGCCACUUUGCUUCUGGAGACCAGCUGGGAUUCUUGAAAUAAAAAUAGUUGUUAAUCCAGAUGGUUCAAACAUUUUAAGCAUUUAUGGAUAAAUAGAACGACAACAAUGAUGUUUUUCAUCUGUUGCUUAAUGGAAUUGUGGUUUCUAAGCUUUUUGUUGUGAGACGGCACUGAUUUCAGGGCAGCUAUUUCAAUUGUAUGUGGUAAAAAGAUGUUGAUGUUGAAUAACUUAUUUGUAUUUAAUUUUAAGCUUUGGUUUCCUCUUCCAUUUGCAGUGAAUCUAUUUAGUCUCUUAGUGUCUUCAUUUCACCAGCGAUGGAACAAUUGUCUUUGCACCUUCAUCCCGUGCACCUGCUUUUUCCUUGAAGCUAUCAAGUAAAAAACACCCUUUUCUUUUGCACGUUAUAAUUGGUUCAUUGUGACCAUUGUAAUUACAAGAUUCCCUUUGCUGUUCUGUGUUGCGUUUUUAUAGGAUGCCAUCGAUGAAAAGGACAAAUGUUGCUGAAUAAGAGCCAACAAUCCUGACCUUGUGCAAAGCAAGCUCUAACAUGAAAUAUUGGCUUGCCAAAAGAUUAAGUGAUGAGGUUUUUAUA